CACAAGUUAUGUUGUGUUAUCGACAAGUGAAUUCAUAGCUUGUCAGAAGGCAGACCCGGAGAACUGAAACAUCUUAGUACCCGGAGGAAGAGAAAGAAAAUUCGAUUCCCUGAGUAGCGGCGAGCGAAACGGGAAGAGCCCAAACCAAUAAGCUUGCUUAUUGGGGUUGUAGGACACUCUAUACGGAGUUACAAAGGAAUAUAUUAAACGAAUCAUCUGGAAAGUUGAAUCAAAGAAGGUAAUAAUCCUGUAGUUGAAAAUAUAUUCUCUCUUGAGUGGAUCCUGAGUACGACGGAGCACGUGAAAUUCCGUCGGAAUCUGGGAGGACCAUCUCCUAAGGCUAAAUACUCUCUAGUGACCGAUAGUGAACCAGUACCGUGAGGGAAAGGUGAAAAGUACCCCGGAAGGGGAGUGAAAGAGAACUUGAAACCGUGUGCUUACAAGUAGUCAGAGCCCGUUAAUGGGUGAUGGCGUGCCUUUUGUAGAAUGAACCGGCGAGUUACGAUCUGAUGCAAGGUUAAGCAGAAAAUGUGGAGCCGUAGCGAAAGCGAGUCUGAAUAGGGCGUAUAGUAUUUGGUCGUAGACCCGAAACCAGGUGAUCUACCCAUGGUCAGGUUGAAGUUCAGGUAACACUGAAUGGAGGACCGAACCGACUUACGUUGAAAAGUGAGCGGAUGAACUGUGGGUAGCGGAGAAAUUCCAAUCGAACUUGGAGAUAGCUGGUUCUCUCCGAAAUAGCUUUAGGGCUAGCCUCAAGUGAUGAUUAUUGGAGGUAGAGCACUGUUUGGACGAGGGGCCCCUCUCGGGUUACCGAAUUCAGACAAACUCCGAAUGCCAAUUAAUUUAACUUGGGAGUCAGAACAUGGGUGAUAAGGUCCGUGUUCGAAAGGGAAACAGCCCAGACCACCAGCUAAGGUCCCAAAAUAUAUGUUAAGUGGAAAAGGAUGUGGCGUUGCCCAGACAACUAGGAUGUUGGCUUAGAAGCAGCCAUCAUUUAAAGAGUGCGUAAUAGCUCACUAGUCGAGUGACACUGCGCCGAAAAUGUACCGGGGCUAAACAUAUUACCGAAGCUGUGGAUUGUCCUUUGGACAAUGGUAGGAGAGCGUUCUAAGGGCGUUGAAGCAUGAUCGCAAGGACAUGUGGAGCGCUUAGAAGUGAGAAUGCCGGUGUGAGUAGCGAAAGACGGGUGAGAAUCCCGUCCACCGAUUGACUAAGGUUUCCAGAGGAAGGCUCGUCCGCUCUGGGUUAGUCGGGUCCUAAGCUGAGGCCGACAGGCGUAGGCGAUGGAUAACAGGUUGAUAUUCCUGUACCACCUAUAAUCGUUUUAAUCGAUGGGGGGACGCAGUAGGAUAGGCGAAGCGUACGAUUGGAUUGUACGUCUAAGCAGUGAGAUUGAGUGUUAGGCAAAUCCGGCACUCUUAAGAUUGAGCUGUGAUGGGGAGAGGAAAUUGUUUCCUCGAGUCGUUGAUUUCACACUGCCGAGAAAAGCCUCUAGAUAGAGAUUAGGUGCCCGUACCGCAAACCGACACAGGUAGUCAAGAUGAGAAUUCUAAGGUGAGCGAGCGAACUCUCGUUAAGGAACUCGGCAAAAUGACCCCGUAACUUCGGGAGAAGGGGUGCUCUUUAGGGUGCAAGCCCAGAAGAGCCGCAGUGAAUAGGCCCAAGCGACUGUUUAUCAAAAACACAGGUCUCUGCUAAACCGUAAGGUGAUGUAUAGGGGCUGACGCCUGCCCGGUGCUGGAAGGUUAAGAGGAGUGGUUAGCUUCUGCGAAGCUACGAAUCGAAGCCCCAGUAAACGGCGGCCGUAACUAUAACGGUCCUAAGGUAGCGAAAUUCCUUGUCGGGUAAGUUCCGACCCGCACGAAAGGCGUAACGAUUUGGGCACUGUCUCAACGAGAGACUCGGUGAAAUCAUAGUACCUGUGAAGAUGCAGGUUACCCGCGACAGGACGGAAAGACCCCGUGGAGCUUUACUGUAGCCUGAUAUUGAAAUUCGGCACAGCUUGUACAGGAUAGGUAGGAGCCUUUGAAACGUGAGCGCUAGCUUACGUGGAGGCGUUGGUGGGAUACUACCCUAGCUGUGUUGGCUUUCUAACCCGCACCACUUAUCGUGGUGGGAGACAGUGUCAGGCGGGCAGUUUGACUGGGGCGGUCGCCUCCUAAAAGGUAACGGAGGCGCUCAAAGGUUCCCUCAGAAUGGUUGGAAAUCAUUCAUAGAGUGUAAAGGCAUAAGGGAGCUUGACUGCGAGACCUACAAGUCGAGCAGGGUCGAAAGACGGACUUAGUGAUCCGGUGGUUCCG
rnacentral:rRNA from 1 species